UCGCCAUUAGAACCAGUCUUCAAAAGCGAUCGAAAGCUCUCAACUGUAUCGCCUUCGCGAAGCCCGUCACAAGCCAAAAUAUAACUUUUGUUGGCUGUUUCGGAAUUCAAUUUUUCAACAAGGGCAAUGUGACCACUUCUACCAGGGUCAUACUCAAUUCUAAUCACUCGAUGAACACCCGGUACUUUUCUUUCAAAGUCAACAAGACGAAUACGUUGUUUGUGUCCACCACCCUGAUGCCUUACAGUAAUUCUUCCUGUU